UAGUCUAUCAAAAGGUUCACUACAUGGUC
rnacentral:sRNA from 1 species